ACAGGGAUGGACGGCGCUGCGGCAGCUCUGAGGAGCAUUGACUGGGUGAAAAAGAUACGGGCCAACAGAGGAGGCACAUAUCUUCGACAGAGUGCGCAAGGAAAAGAGAAUAGGGCGUCGCUACUGCAUGUGAGUUGCUGCGCUGCUGGGAAGAGAAGGAUGGGUAGCAAUGAGAGGACUGUGUCAUUCCAUAUUGAGGAAGGCUUCAUCGAUGCCGCUGGGCAGAUAAGUUUCUCUCGCAAUUUUCCCAUUGUCGCUACUGAUUUGGGCACCGAUGGCUAGAACUGUCUCAUUGCUCAUUGAGGAAGGCUGCAUAUCAAUAUCCAAAAGCUAAGCUUGAUUAGUCUUCAUGUUUGUUUGAUACAGCUUUUCUGAGCAGUACCAGAAACUAUGCAUCAAAUACAUGUAAAUUAUUUC